GUGUCACUAACUGGAGCAGAAAGUGUCUGGCUUGACGUGUCUGUUUUCGCAGAAAAAAAUCGCACUUCAAAGAAGGUGGAGUUUCAGAACACACCCACCGAUUGCGUAAUCGCUACGGACCAAUAGAAACUCAAAGGUGUUUAGGAGCCAAACCGAACUCCCCCAGAAAGUUCGCUUUGGUGAUCUGUUUUGAACUGCCGAAACGAACUCAAAACGAACUUCGUUUCGGCCUGAUUUUGUUCGAAAUGACGUCAUAUCAGUUUGUUCUACGAUUUCGUUUGAAGUAUAUCGGGACCUUUAUACUCUUGGUUAUGCAUGAUAUUAUGCAAACAUUAAGUUAAAGGGGGGAAAAAGGCUGAAACUAGUUUCCAGGAACCUGCCACGUGAAUCUCAGACAGUCCUCCUCCUCAUUUUAAAAACGCCCCGCACGCGUGUCUGCGUUCACUCGCGCGCUCUCAUCAUCAGCGGUCAUCAAUACUAUCAGCGAUGGUUGUGCUCUCUUCCAUGUGCAUUUACUGAUACUCUCAUCACUCAUGAAUAUUUCUGAGAGCAGUGUGCUCGGCACCGUGCUGCCUCUUACUAGUUUCGAGAACGUGCUCGUGUUUCUCUUUAAUAUAAUUCUCGCCACCGCCAUCAUUUUUAUUAACGUCUCCGUGUUUAUCGCCAUCGUGAUGAACAGAUCACUGCGGAACGAGAACCGCUUCAUGUACAUGCUCAGCACGUGUCUCAGUGACAUCUGCACGGGCGUCUCGUAUUAUUAUGCUGGAGUUAUGGAUGUACGCGAUGAUUUUGAUUCGCCGACUCGCACUCUCUACAUCGUUCCCACUUUUCUGGGACUGUCCUAUAUGGCGAUUCUGGCCGCGCAAGCGGACCGCUACCACGCGGUCUCAGCGCCUUUCAAAUACUCGCAGCGCAUGACUCGAAACAGAACCCUGCUGGUGAUUCUGGCCUACUGGGUUUAUGCUUUUAUUUUAGUGGCUGUUUAUAAUUUGGUGACUACGGGGGUCGCUAAGGCUGUGACGGGCUUGGGUACUUUUGUGGCAAACAUUUUUAGUGUCAUUAUAAUGAUUGGCUUGAAUUUAAGGCUGUUUGUCAUCGCCAAAUUUCAGCUAGAACGCGAACCCCCGAGCGAGGAACGCGACAACAAGCGCGCGUCCAUUUAUCUCAUCAUAAUAGUAGCUGUGUGUUUUCUGAUUGCAUGGCUGCCGUGGUUUCUUCUUACGACUGUGUGUACAUUUAGAGGAGGUUCGUGUUAUCCGUUUAGAAAUGACGGCACAGACCCCCUGCGCAUUCUGGCGCGCGUCAAUGCGCUUAUCACUCCUUUACUGUACAUCAGAGGCUGUACUCCACUCAGGAGCACCAUAAUGAUUAAAGUCUGGAGAAUACCAUGCUGCAAGAGUAAAAGAGUGAAGCCACAGAAUAUGGAGAAGACUUUAGACUAGAUGUAGCAGGGAUCUUCAGGAUGUGACAAUCUUCGAGUGGCAGGACUUUUAAAGAGACUUUAAGAAUACACUGCCUGGCCAAAAGAAAAAAGUUUCCAUUUGGAUUUAAAUAAGCAAAUGCUUAAGAUUUCAUGACUGGAUCAAUAUUGCAUUGAAUAAUGUUUCUAGCAUGUGGUUCACAACAAUUAUUUUAACCCUAAAUGAUGCAAUGUGCAGCGUUUUAUUUCUUAAACAACCAAGUUGGAAGAUGUAUUUCAUGGUCAUAUUUUAGGAUGAUGAUGCCAGGAUUCAAUCGCUCAAACUGUAAAAUAUGGUUCAGGGAACAUGAGGAAUCAUUUUCACACAUGAAUUGGCCACCACAGAGUCCUGAGCUCCACUGAAAAUCUUUGGAUGUGCUGUAGUCGAUUUUACAGAGUGGUUUAACUCUCCCAUUGUCAAUACAAGAUCUUUGCCAAAAAUUAAUGCAACUUUUAAAGGAAAUACAUUUUGUGAUGUUGCAUAAGAUUUUUGAAACCGUGCCACGAUAAAUGCACAAAAGGCACUGCAUUUACAAAAUAUUACAGCAUGCAACAACCUUUUUUUUUUUUGGCCAGUGUAUAUUUAAAUAUUCAGUAGACAUCUGUGAAUCUAAAACACACAAGUUAAAGCUUACUCUGUGAACAGUUUCAUGUCCCUGUCCUUUUUCCCACUUGAUAUAUCUGUUGUAUCUUCAAAUAGCAUUUAAUAGAGCAAAUGUAUUAUUGCUUAUGCGUCUUAAUUUGACCUUCUUGGGAAGUAACUUACUGAAAGCAGAUUAAUUAUAUAAAGUGCCAAGAUGACAUUUUGUUUCAGAAAUCUGUACUGUAUGUACAAGCUAAGACUGAUGAGUGAUUUUUUUUUGUAUCUAUAUAUGUAGGCUAUUCAAAGACAAGUUCCCUUUCAUCCACUGUUGUUUUUAUUGGCCUGUGUAAAUUAAAGUUUGAUAACCAUUUAAAAUGUUAAUUUAAAUUGAUUGAUUUUU
ensembl:lncRNA